rnacentral:rRNA from 1 species
GAUGAACGCUGACAGAAUGCUUAACACAUGCAAGUCAACUUGAACUUCGGUUUGGGCGGCGGACGGGUGAGUAACGCGUAAAGAACUUGCCUCACAGCUAGGGACAACAUUUGGAAACGAAUGCUAAUACCUGAUAUUAUGAUUUUAGGGCAUCCUAGAAUUAUGAAAGCUAUAUGCGCUGUGAGAGAGCUUUGCGUCCCAUUAGCUAGUUGGAGAGGUAACGGCUCACCAAGGCGAUGAUGGGUAGCCGGCCUGAGAGGGUGAACGGCCACAAGGGGACUGAGACACGGCCCUUACUCCUACGGGAGGCAGCAGUGGGGAAUAUUGGACAAUGGACCAAGAGUCUGAUCCAGCAAUUCUGUGUGCACGAUGAAGUUUUUCGGAAUGUAAAGUGCUUUCAGUUGGGAAGAAAAAAAUGACGGUACCAACAGAAGAAGUGACGGCUAAAUACGUG